rnacentral:rRNA from 1 species
AUACGUAGGGGACGAGCGUUGUCCGGAAUUACUGGGCGUAAAGGGCGUGUAGGCGGUCUUGCAAGUCAGAAGUGAAAUUCCUGAGCUCAACUCGGGCGCUGCUUCUGAAACUGCAGGACUUGAGUGCUGGAGGGGAUAGCGGAAUUCCUAGUGGAGCGGUAAAAUGCGCAGAUAUUAGGAAGAACACCGGUGGCGAAGGCGGCUAUCUGGACAGUAACUGACGCUGAGGCGCGGAAGCGUGGGGAGCAAACAGGAUUAGAUACCCCGGUAGUCCUGGCAGUAAACGAUGUAUGCUGGGUGUGAGACUAGCGAUAGUUUCGUGCCGAAGUUAACGCGAUAAGCAUACCGCCUGGGGAGUACGGUCGCAAGAUUGAAACUCAAAUGAAUUGGCGGGG